rnacentral:lncRNA from 1 species
ACAAACACUGCAGGGAAACUCAGACACGCACAUGCCCAGGCCUGCAGGUCUCUCCGGGAACAUGGACACGCAUGCGCACACGACGGGGACACAUGCAUCUGCAGACGCACAGCUUGCAAACCCCAAGUCACCCUCCAGACACGCAGACGCCUCUGGCUGACACCCUGGACCCAGGCUGAGCCUCGGGGGUGGACCUACCCCACCCGUAGGUGUCCCCUCCUGGAUGCAUACACCCCACACGCGCCCAGCCCCCACCCUAGCCGGGCAUGCGCACACAGACUCGCUGGAGGUGCUGGAGCCAGUGCGCAAGCGCCCUUCUCCUCCGAGGUGUCCCACGAGUCUCGGGAGGAUGAGGCACGUACUAAGAGCCUCACACCCCCCCGCUAUAACUAGCAUGCACCAGCUGACAGCCAGGGAAGACAGCAGGCCAAGGUGAGAUGGCAGAGCCUCCUAGCCCAUCCCAAACCGAUCCUACAGACACUUAUUGUGUGACUUAUUGAGGUUUCACGGUUGGGUUAUACAGCAUUAUUGGGAUUCAUAACUGCUAUAUAUGGUACAGAAGUGGGGCAGCAAGCCCACCGACACUGAGAAGAGGCCGGUAGGCAGCGAAAGAAAAAUCUAAAUCCAGAACGAGUUUCUCUUCCAUUGAGGAUAAAACAUUGCCCUCUCCAUGAUGAAAGGGGCUCCACGUGAUCCUCCUGCCUCCAGAUGUCUGGCUGGUGUGGGGUAGAUACAGAACCAGUCCUGGCUUCUCUCUCACUCAUGCCUUCCCAGGGCGGGGAGUGACUUAAAUCAAAGGAAGGAUCUGGAAGGUGCAUUUAAGAAGUGCAGAGCCCAGUUCUCAGUAACCUGUUUGCCCACAGAUAGCAUGUUAUAGUUAUGUCUUUUUUUUUCUUAAGAGAGAGCGUGGGGGAGGAGGGGGGCAGAGGGGGUGAGAGAGAAUCUCAAGCAGGUCUCAUGUAGCACAGAGCCUGAUGCAGGGCUCCAUCCCGUGACCCCAGGAUCAUGACCUGACCCAAAAUCAAGAGUCUGACACUCAACCAAGCCACCCAGGUGCCCCAACUUGUUAUAUCUCAAUUGCUCUUCAUGUGGCAAUGUUCUGAUCCCCAAGAAUUAGUUUGUUCAGGUACAAUGUCCACUAGUCCUUGGAAGAUUUAUUUCUUUGUCAACAAAUGGAUUGUCUGUGUAAAUGGCUGCAGGUCCCUUUACAGGAGGCUAGGGGUAAGGCAUAAGUGUCAUACAUAGCAGAGUCCUUCCUCAAAGGUCCUGGGACUCUCCCUUAAGUGUCUAUAAAUUGACUCAAGGAGGUUGCGACUCUAGAACGGUGGCCCUAGUCCACCUCUUCUUCUUAUGAGCCUGUACUUUGGCUUAUUUUCUUAUAUAAAUCACUUUU